ACAAAGUGUCUUCUUUUUCAUAUAUAAUAACAUGCAUGGUGACAAGGAAACACUAAGCCCUACAUCAGGAAACAGGCCUAAUAGUCUAUUGGCAAAGCGGCCUAAUAGUCUAUUGGCAAAGCAGUAAUCAUACGAGAAGGCAGGAAGGGAGCAGGCGGGUGAGGCAGGCAGACGGCACAUUCUACAUUAAUCUACAACAAACUGAAGUAGGAUCUGCGUCAGCAUCCAGCAAUCCCUUGACCCAAACAAAGGACAAUGAUUGAGCCUCCAACCAAACAUGUUUUCUGGGUGGGCAAGAGGACAGACAAUGCGGGGCGACGGUGAUGCACUAGCCUUCAUUUCUUGAUUCCCACUCACGAUUUACAACACUUCCCACAUGAAGAUAUUUUGGAGGCAUCCAAGAGACAUAGUUUUGUCACGUGUCCUGCGCUCGUUUGCUGACCAUAGUAUUCUCUCUGAAAUCCUGCAACAUAGAUGAAGCUUUCUGUAGUUUUCCAUCACCACUGAUCUUGGGAAAUUGGCCACACCCCCACAGUGCUGAGGCUGGUAGCUGCGAGGUACAGGGCACUAUGAAGAAAAGUUUGGCCAGCAAGUUUGGCACUGGGGCUGGCCGUCCAGAAUACAUUGCAUACCCACUGCAGUGAUCAUCUUCAAGCUUUAGCUGUCAGCAGGUUAACUAACUGGAUACAUUGGCUGCCUACUGGAUGGCAGUCAUUCUUGCUUUUAAUUCAUGGAGAUACAAACCGAGUCU
rnacentral:lncRNA from 1 species